UGGAAAGAGAGUCAAACAGUACGUGAAAUUGUUGAAAGGGAAGCGCUUGCAAUCAGACUUGCCCGUGGGUGAUCAACCGGUAUUCUUAUCGGUGCACUCACCCGUGGUCAGGCCAGCAUCGGUUUGGGUGGCUGGAUAAAGUCCACCGGAAUGUAGCUCCUCUCGGGGAGUGUUAUAGCCGGAGGUGCAAUGCAGCCCACCCGGACCGAGGACCGCGCUUCGGCUAGGAUGCUGGCGUAAUGGUUGUAAGCGACCCGUCUUGAAACACGGACCAAGGAGUCUAACAUCUAUGCGAGUGUUUGGGUGUCAAACCCAUGCGCGUAAUGAAAGUGAACGGAGGUGGGAACCCUGAAGGGUGCACCAUCGACCGAUCCUGAUGUCUUCGGAUGGAUUUGAGUAAGAGCAUAGCUGUUGGGACCCGAAAGAUGGUGAACUAUGCCUGAAUAGGGUGAAGCCAGAGGAAACUCUGGUGGAGGCUCGCAGCGGUUCUGACGUGCAAAUCGAUCGUCAAAUUUGGGUAUAGGGGCGAAAGACUAAUCGAACCAUCUGACACUGGAUGGCACAUGGGCCGCAAGUGGCCCGAGUAGUCCCCGUGGUGGGGGCGACAUCGCCGGUCUUCCGGGGACGCCUUCGGGCUAUCCGCAGUGAGCCUCGGGCUCAUUCACAGACUAAGUGGCGGUGGCCGCGCCCAACGGCGCAGCUAGGAUAUAGCCG
rnacentral:rRNA from 1 species